CCAAGUCAAUCCCUGGCCUCUCCAGGUAGAAUCCAUCAUGUUUGGAGAGCUAUGACUAGCCAGUGAAACAGGACAGAGGCAGAGGGACCAGUGACUUGGCAGAAAGCAGGCCCCUUAUUCAAACCAUGAGGACUAGAGUGCUGGGUUUUCAUAAAGCAACUCCUUGUGAGUAAAGAGCUCCUGAGGGGCAGGGCCUGAGAUAAGCUCCCUUGGUGGAGGGAUGGCAGGUGGCACUUGUGGGGAAAGCUGUGGGUCAUGGCAGCUGAAAGGGGUUCAAAUCGAAAGCAUCCUUUUCAGCCACUUGGUCUCCAUUUGUUGAAUAUGUUCUGAGGUGAGUCCCAGGGGCCAGGCAGAGAGGGCUUGGGGGCCGCAUUGGGGGAGGGAGAGACCCUUGGCUCUCCCCCACUGCUCUCCUGUGCCUCCAGACAGCCCCCUCCCCUGGAGGUGUGAUGAUGUCAUAAAAAGGCAGGUGAGGAAAGGGCCCAUUGGCUCCAGCCCCUCCCUUCUCCAUCCUCCUGACUGACAGCUGAGGAGCCGAGAGGGGAAGAGGCGCCACCAUUUCUCUCUCUCUCUGCUGGGUGACGAAUUUGCUGGAUGGAUCUCGCACUUCCCAGGCCCAGACAUGUGACCUCCCCUGCUGGCUCUUCCACCACCUGCUCCAGCCUCUACCCUACCUUUGAGUUCACCUGGUCCUGUGCCCAGGAGUAGUAUUUUGGGAGUUACCUAUGGCUCACAGGCACCCUCCGCAAUGCUACUGCCAGCCUCCGAAUGUCCCAUACCACCCGCGAGCACCGUAUCCCAGCUACCCUCCAGGACCGUAUUUGAAAUCUUGCCCGUCCUGCCCCAGGUGCAAUGCGUAUGGCUACAGAGGCUACCCGCCUGGGCCUGCGUACCCACAGCACAGGGGUGAAGACUGCUUCACCUGCUGCCUGAAAGCUUGUGCUGCCAUCUUUUGCUGCUGCUGCGUCAUAGACAUGGUAACUUACGACUGCAACUGCAACUACGGCUGAGCACCCCAAGACCCUCUCAGUACCCCUGGCAUGGAUUGCUGCGUAGCCUCUUCUUCCUCCUCUCCGCCUCCUCCACAGCUUCCAAGCACGGUAAUAAAUGCUGUGCUCUGCGCAGGCAACAGGGACGCAAGUCUGCCGCAGAGAUGGCA